rnacentral:tRNA from 1 species
GCGGGCGUAGCUCAGUUGGCAGAGCAGCCGCCUCUGGCGGAAGGUCGCGGGUUCAAAUCCCGUCUCCCGCU